GCUGAGCCACACUUCCUUGAGUCUGUACACCAGAUACACCAAUCCAGCUGAGCCACACUUUUUGGUGUAUCUGGUGUACAGACUCAAGGAAGUGUGGCUCAGC
rnacentral:pre_miRNA from 1 species